AGUGAACGCUGGCGGUAGGCCUAACACAUGCAAGUCGAACGGCAGCACAGUAAGAGCUUGCUCUUACGGGUGGCGAGUGGCGGACGGGUGAGGAAUACAUCGGAAUCUACUUUUUCGUGGGGGAUAACGUAGGGAAACUUACGCUAAUACCGCAUACGACCUACGGGUGAAAGCAGGGGAUCUUCGGACCUUGCGCGAUUGAAUGAGCCGAUGUCGGAUUAGCUAGUUGGCGGGGUAAAGGCCCACCAAGGCGACGAUCCGUAGCUGGCCUGAGAGGAUGAUCAGCCACACUGGAACUGAGACACGGUCCAGACUCCUACGGGAGGCAGCAGUGGGGAAUAUUGGACAAUGGGCGAAAGCCUGAUCCAGCCAUACCGCGUGAGUGAAGAAGGCCUUCGGGUUGUAAAGCCCUUUUGUUGGGAAAGAAAAGCAGCAGGUUAAUACCCCGCUGUUCUGACGGUACCCAAAGAAUAAGCACCGGCUAACUUCGUG
rnacentral:rRNA from 1 species